UACAGAGGUCUCAAGCGUUGUUCGGAAUUACUGGGCGUAAAGAGUGUGUAGGCGGUGUUCCCAGUCUGUUGUGAAAUCUCCCGGCUUAACUGGGAGGGUGCAGCGGAAACUAGAAUGCUAGAGGGUGGGAGAGGUAAGCGGAAUUCCUGGUGUAGCGGUGAAAUGCGUAGAUAUCAGGAGGAACACCUGUGGUGUAGACAGCUUACUGGACCACUUCUGACGCUGAGACACGAAAGCGUGGGUAGCAAACAGG
rnacentral:rRNA from 1 species